rnacentral:rRNA from 1 species
GCACGAGGGUCCUUCGGGAUGCCGGCGAGCGGCGGACGGGUGAGUAAUGCCUAGGAAUCUGCCUGGUAGUGGGGGAUAACUCGGGGAAACUCGAGCUAAUACCGCAUACGUCCUACGGGAGAAAGCGGGGGAUCUUCGGACCUCGCGCUACCAGAUGAGCCUAGGUCGGAUUAGCUAGUUGGUGAGGUAAAGGCUCACCAAGGCGACGAUCCGUAGCUGGUCUGAGAGGAUGAUCAGCCACACUGGAACUGAGACACGGUCCAGACUCCUACGGGAGGCAGCAGUGGUCAUAG